AACGCAUAUUGCACUCGAGCUCCGGCGAGAGUAUGUCUGUCUCAGCGUCAGUUCACCCCAUCACCUCCCUUUUCCUUUGGGAAUAGAGGUGGACGUGGCCGUCUCGUUCUAUUCGAUUAGAACCGGGUCGGCUGAAGCACAGGGCCUCGACAACCAACGCGGCACGGUGUUUGCCGUCGGGGCGCCAGCAUGGUAGGUGUUUAAUCAACACUGGCAGUCGCUGGCCGCCUAUCGACGGGCCUGUUUCCGCGCAGAGGCCAAAUACUAUAUUCUUCGGAAUAUUAACAGACUUUUGACCUGAGAUCAGACAAGAGCACCCGCUGAACUUAA
rnacentral:misc_RNA from 1 species